rnacentral:rRNA from 1 species
GAACGAAGCAGUUGUCAGGACUGAGGGAUCAGGAAGCAGGGAAAGAACCUGUCUCCUGUACCCUGAGCCCUGGCAGCUGACUUAGUGGCGGACGGGUGAGUAACGCGUGAGUAACCUGCCUUACAGAGGGGGAUAACGUUCCGAAAGGAACGCUAAUACCGCAUGAUACAAUUUUGUCGCAUGGCAGAAUUGUCAAAGAUUUAUCGCUGUAAGAUGGACUCGCGUCUGAUUAGUUAGUUGGUAGGGUAACGGCCUACCAAGACUGCGAUCAGUAGCCGAACUGAGAGGUUGAUCGGCCACAUUGGGACUGAGACACGGCCCAGACUCCUACGGGAGGCAGCAGUGGGGAAUAUUGCGCAAUGGGGGAAACCCUGACGCAGCAACGCCGCGUGAAGGAUGAAGGUUUUCGGAUCGUAAACUUCUGUCUUUGGGGAAGAUAAUGACGGUACCCAAGGAGGAAGCCACGGCUAACUACGUGCCAGCAGCCGCGGUAAU